rnacentral:piRNA from 1 species
UAGAAUCAAGAGCUCAAGACAAUCCGGA